rnacentral:rRNA from 1 species
AUGGCUGCGCUUGGCGUCCUCCUCGUGACGAUGGCAGCAGCCAUGGUAGCAGCGGCUGCGGCAGCAGCAGCAACGGCGAGGGCUCCUCGUCCCUUCUUCGUGUUCGGCGACUCCCUGGUGGACAGCGGCAACAACAACUACCUGGCCACCACGGCGCGCGCCGACUCGCCGCCCUACGGCCUCGACUACCCGACCCACCGCGCCACCGGCCGCUUCUCCAACGGCCUCAACGUCCCCGACAUCAUCAGCGAGCACCUCGGGGCCGAGCCCGUGCUGCCCUACCUCAGCCCCCACCUCGACGGCCACAAGCUGCUCGGCGGCGCCAACUUCGCGUCCGCCGGCGUCGGCAUCCUCAACGACACCGGCAUCCAGUGA